UACAGAGGGUGCGAGCGUUGUCCGGAAUCAUUGGGCGUAAAGCGCGCGUAGGCGGCCCGAUAAGUCCGCUGUGAAAGUCAACGGCUCAACUGUUGGAUGCCGGUGGAUACUGUCGGGCUAGAGUACGGAAGAGGCAAGUGGAAUUCCUGGUGUAGCGGUGGAAUGCGCAGAUAUCAGGAGGAACACCUAUAGCGAAGGCAGCUUGCUGGGACGUUACUGACGCUAAGGCGCGAAAGCGUGGGGAGCGAACAGG
rnacentral:rRNA from 1 species